GGAAAUCCUUAAAGGCGCAUCCUGAGAGGAAGACCUGUAUGAAGUGUCUGCGCACAUUGGGGUUUCUAUAAACAGGUUUCAGUCUGCUCUGCAUCUCCAGCAGUGACAGUCCUAACUGGGCUGCGAGUGAAUGCGUUCUUUAAUGCAGUCGUGGUUUCUGUCAGGGUUGAAAUGUGUCCAGAUGGAGGGACCCCGCUGUGCAAGCCUGACCGGCGCUCGGGGGUGAGUGUGGAGAACUGAUGGGUGGGGAUCCGGUCUAACUGGACUCUUUCUCACCGCCGAGCUGCCGAGUUUUGGCACGCCACCGUCUCUCAGCUCAGGUUACAGGACUGUGGGUGCCCAUGCAUACUUGAAUGGAGAAUCCCAGUCUGCUCUGCAUACAACAACAGACUGGGAAUCAGCAGCUGCCUAGAGAUUUGGAUGUCUCUUUUGGUCCUUUGUCUCUUAUAUAAAACAAACACAAAUAGUUCAAACUGUAUAUAGUUCAAUUUAUUUAUAUAUAGAUUAAAAUUAUGCUUAAAGCAUUUUUUAUGUAUAAUGUCAUAGUUUAAAGGGACACGUGUGGGAAAUGAGGGGACUUAUUUCAUAUAUCCCCCAAAAGUCUAAAAACCUUGAGGCCAGUUUUAUGUUUGGAUAAUAAAUAAGAUUUUCCAUGGCUUAAAAUAAAAAAAAAUUAUUUGAAGAGUUAGACACAUCUUGUUGAUUUAUCAGAUUAAAAUCAAAAUGUGUAUUAAAAUGUUAAAAUAAAUAUACAUAAAAUAUUAGAAAAAUAUAGACAUCGGCUGGGCUUUAAAGCAAUGGUUAAUCCGCAAAAAAUAUUCUGUCACCAUUUUCCCUCAUGUUGUUCCUAAUCCAGAUGACUUUUUUCUAUUCAGUAAUUAACUAAAAAUUCAAUGUUCUUUAGGCAAAGCUAUCUUGGCUUCAUAAAAACAUAUGUAUCGAGUCUUUAUUCAUCAUUUUAUGU